CCUGAUCUGGAGCCGAGCUCUGCCAGCGGAUCGGGAGCACGAGUCGUAACUGGCAGAGGCGGGGGAACCACAACCGGCAGCGGGGGACUGCCUUGGGGUGAAGUCCGUCAGCAGCAAGCCUCUUCCAGCGAAGGAUCCUUACCGGGAUAUCUCUGUGCCGAAGCUUGCUUACGGCGGACCGGGUCUUUGAACUCUCUGACCCGAAUCCGACAGCUAACUUCGCAGGCUUUCCAGAGAGGACCC
rfam:Arthrobacter siccitolerans, 4J27, WGS project CAQI01000000 data, contig: 00026